AAAGUGGAGCAAUCCAUGAGUAAAGCGGCGUACGGGUGAGUAACACGUGGGGCAUCUACCUCUUAGUGGGGAAUAACUCUGGGAAACCGGAGCUAAUACCGCAUAAGCCUGGAAAGGGAAAGCAGCAAUGCGCUGAGAGAGGACCCCGCGGCCGAUUAGCUAGUUGGUGAGGUAAAGGCUCACCAAGGCGUCGAUCGGUAGCCGGCCUGAGAGGGCACACGGCCACACUGGCACUGAAACACGGGCCAGACUCCUACGGGAGGCAGCAGUGGGGAAUCUUGCACAAUGGGGGCAACCCUGAUGCAGCGACGCCGCGUGAGCGAUGAAGCCCUUCGGGGCGUAAAGCUCUUUCGGCCGGAACGAUAAUGACGGUACCGGAAGAAGAAGCUGCGGCUAACUACGUGCCAGCAGCCGCGGUAAUACGUAGGCAGCAAGCGUUGUUCGGAGUUACUGGGCGUAAAGAGUGCGUAGGCGGUUUCCUAAGUUUGGUGUGAAAUCUCCCGGCUUAACUGGGAGGGUGCGCCGAAGACUGGGGAGCUAGAGGAUGGGAAAGGUAAGCGGAAUUCCUGGUGUAGCGGUGAAAUGCGUAGAUAUCAGGAGGAACACCGGCGGUGUAGACGGCUUACUAGACCACCCCUGACGCUGAGGCACGAAAGCGUGGGUAGCAAACAGGAUUAGAUACCCUGGUAGUCCACGCCCUAAACGAUGCAUACUUGGUGUGGGCAGUUCAUUCUGUCCGUGCCGGAGCUAACGCGUUAAGUAUGCCGCCUGGGGAGUACGGUCGCAAGGCUGAAACUC
rnacentral:rRNA from 1 species